UACAGAGGGUGCGAGCGUUAAUCGGAAUUACUGGGCGUAAAGCGCGCGUAGGCGGCUUUUGCAAGUCGGGUGUGAAAUCCCCAGGCUUAACCUGGGAACUGCAUUCGAGACUGCAUUGCUAGAGUAUGGGAGAGGGAAGUGGAAUUUCCGGUGUAGCGGUGAAAUGCGUAGAUAUCGGAAGGAACAUCAGUGGCGAAAGCGACUUCCUGGACCAAUACUGACGCUCAUGUGCGAAAGCGUGGGGAGCAAACAG
rnacentral:rRNA from 1 species